rnacentral:rRNA from 1 species
UACGGAGGGGGCUAGCGUUGUUCGGAAUUACUGGGCGUAAAGCGCACGUAGGCGGCUUUGUAAGUUAGAGGUGAAAGCCCGGGGCUCAACUCCGGAAUUGCCUUUAAGACUGCAUCGCUAGAAUUGUGGAGAGGUAAGUGGAAUUCCGAGUGUAGAGGUGAAAUUCGUAGAUAUUCGGAAGAACACCAGUGGCGAAGGCGGCUCACUGGCUCAUACUGGACGCUGAGGUGCGAAAGCGUGGGGAGCAAACAGG